rnacentral:rRNA from 1 species
GACGAACGCUGGCGGCGUGCUUAACACAUGCAAGUCGAACGAGACGAUUUAGAAGCUUGCUUUUAUUGAGUCGAGUGGCAAACGGGUGAGUAACGCGUAGACAACCUGCCGCAAAGAUGGGGACAACAGUCCGAAAGGACUGCUAAUACCGAAUGUUGUAUCUCCUCCGCAUGGGAGAGAUAUUAAAGAUGGCCUCUACUUGUAAGCUAUCGCUUUGCGAUGGGUCUGCGUCUGAUUAGCUAGUUGGUGGGGCAACGGCCUUACCAAGGCGACGAUUCAGUAGCCGGUCUGAGAGGAUGAACGGCCACAUUGGAACUGAGACACGGUUCCAGACUCCUACGGGA